AUUGAACGCUGGCGGCAGGCCUAACACAUGCAAGUCGAGCGAGCGGCGGACGGGUGAGUAAUGUCUGGGAAACUGCCUGAUGGAGGGGGAUAACUACUGGAAACGGUAGCUAAUACCGCAUACCAUCAGAUGUGCCCAGAUGGGAUUAGCUAGUCGGGGGGGGAACGGCUCACCUAGGCGACGAUCCCUAGCUGGUCUGAGAGGAUGACCAGGCACACUGGAACUAGUACACGGUCCAGACUCCUACGGGAGGCAGCAGUGGGGAAUAUUGCACAAUGGGCGCAAGCCUGAGGCAGCCAUGCCGCGUGGGUGAAGAAGGCCUUCGGGUUGUAAAGCACUUUCAGCGGGGAGGCGUUACCCGCAGAAGAAUCACCGGCUAACGCCGUGCCAGCCGCCGCGGUAAUUC
rnacentral:rRNA from 1 species